GUCCCCAAAUGUCCCCAUGUGUCCCCAUAUGUCCCUAUAUGUCCCCAUAAGUCCCUAUAUGACCCUAUAAGUCCCCACGUGUCCCCAAAUGUCCCCAAAUGUCCCCAAAUGUCCCCAAAUGUCCCCAAAUGUCCCCACAGGCAGCGACCGCGACAGCGACGCCGACGGCCCCGACUACGAGAACGUGACCCCGCCGCGCCCCCCCGGCCCCCCAUAAUUUAUUGGUGCCCCACACGGAGCCCCCCGGGCUGACGCCACCUGAGAAGACGCCGCGACCCACAGAUCCCCAGCGACCCCAAUAAAGCCCCACGUUCACCCCACA